rnacentral:snRNA from 1 species
GUGCUUGCUUCCACAGCACGUAUACUAAAAUUGGAACGAUACAGAGAAGAUUAGCAUGGCCGCUGCACAAUGAUGACGCACAAAUUUGUGAAGCAUGCCCUAUUUUU